rnacentral:tRNA from 1 species
AAGGGCUUAGCUUAAUUAAAGCAAUUGACUUGCAUUCAGUAGAUGUGAGAUAUGAUCUUGCAGUCCUU